AGCUUCUAAAAUCAUUCACAUAUUUUAACAACUUUUAAUUUUUUUUUAAGUAGGCUUCACACCCAGCAUGAGCUCAACAUGGGGCCUGAACUCAUAACCCGGAGUUCAAGAACUAAGAUGAAAUCAAGAGUUGGAUGCUUAACCAAAUGAGCCCUCCAGGUGUUAUUCCCAAGAGCACUUCACCAAAAAAUAUCCUGCAUACAACUCUUCAUUUCAGUGUUUCUCUCGGAGGGAGUGUAUCUUCUGACAGUUGACUAUGUCAGGAGUGGUUCUAAGAAGUAGAUUGUAAAGUGAAUUGGAUAUUCUGCUGGCCAACUGGUAAUGAUGCCAUCAUAGUUGGUAAGUAGAGUACUCAUAGACCUCAACAGGUUGUAGAGG
rnacentral:lncRNA from 1 species